rnacentral:lncRNA from 1 species
CGCGAAGGAGUACACCUUGAAGUUUCAUCAGUUUCCCAUUAUGCUCCAAAGUUAGUGUCUAGCAUGAGGGAUAGAAUGAGAAAGUUGCUUCUAAGUUGUCCUGUGAUUUUAUUUUGGAUAACAAGGCCAUCUUGUUUAACAAAGAUAUGGAUAUAUAUAGACUUGUGGUAUAUAUGAAGUAACUUCAAGAGGAAAAGAAAAAGUAGGCAGACAAAGGAGAAGGUAGA